AUGAACUAACACACCUGUCAUAUGCUCAAGAGAAGUUAUGAACUCAGAGCCAAAUUUUCCCUUGCAUUCUGCUGCUGCAUUUUGCUUAUGAGUCAAGGAGUUUGGCAGGAAGGAGCAUAAUUUUGCUGUGAAUUGAGCAGGAAAGACUUGUGAUACAGGCUGGGAUAAAGUUUUUUAAGAACAGAGGAAAAUGCUGGCUCAGGUGCCCAUAAAGAACCUGUACAAUGUAGAAAACAAGUGAAAAUUCUGCAGGCACCAUGAUUUAAAGGAUAAAAUUGAGAGUACCUAAAAAUGAUAAGGAAAGAAUUUAAAUAAAAAGUUUUGGGAAAAGCAAGGAGAUAUUAAGAUAGCUGUGGAAGAAAAAAUAAAUGCUGCAAAAAUUUUGUAAAGUCUUAGAAGAGUAUAACUGAAUUUUGGAGCUGUCUAAUAAAAGAAGUAAACUAAGGGGAUAAGUGAUGUCAUCAGAUCAUGAAAAAAGGAAGACAGGCUCAGCUACAGUGUCUGAAGGCUCUCUAGAAAGAUGGAAGUUGAAGGAGACAGGUAGGACUGGGAAAAGUUUGCAUUAUUUUAUCUUUUUCAUUUGCAGUUGCUGGGGUUGUGUUUGAUUUGCAAGGAGUGGAGAUGGUAAAGUGCGUUCAGUGACUGGCAGAAAAAAGGCCCCAACAGUAGAGGUUCAAUACUUACAGUGAGAAUGGAGAGGGCAUAAAUGCCUCAGUAUAAAAUAACCUCAUUCAUUUGGGAAAAAAAUGUGGGUUGUAUUCAGUUUCUUUGAGUUUUUACAGCAAAACUUUUUACUUUUCUAGAACCAAAACGUAUUGGUUUAGUUUUGUUCCCUGUCAGCCUUGGAGCAGUUCAAGACCGAAAGACUGAAAGAGCAAAUUGAAAAAAAUGUUUUCCCACCUUCUUCUUACCUUUUGACCUUUUUGGAGAAGAAAAGCAAAGCGUGUCUAGGGUUGAGACACCAAAGAGAUGAGCUGGGUGAGAAAGAGACACAAAGAGAACAGAGGAGGCCACUGGAUUUUCAGUGAAGACAGAAGAAAAGCUGAGGAUCCAGAUACAGGAAGGUGGUGUUAACUAAAGUAAGUGAAGAGGUUACAACUGGUGUGACUGCAAAGAAGGGAGAGAAAAGGAGAAAAUGAGAUGCUCCAUUGGAAAACAUCAUUCAGAAGUGACAGAUUAAGCUACUUGAA